rnacentral:rRNA from 1 species
AGUGAACGCUGGCGGUAGGCCUAACACAUGCAAGUCGAACGGCAGCACAGUAAGAGCUUGCUCUUACGGGUGGCGAGUGGCGGACGGGUGAGGAAUACAUCGGAAUCUACUUUUUCGUGGGGGAUAACGUAGGGAAACUUACGCUAAUACCGCAUACGACCUACGGGUGAAAGCAGGUGAUCUUCGGACCUUGCGCGAUUGAAUGAGCCGAUGUCGGAUUAGCUAGUUGGCGGGGUAAAGGCCCACCAAGGCGACGAUCCGUAGCUGGUCUGAGAGGAUGAUCAGCCACACUGGAACUGAGACACGGUCCAGACUCCUACGGGAGGCAGCAGUGGGGAAUAUUGGACAAUGGGCGCAAGCCUGAUCCAGCCAUACCGCGUGGGUGAAGAAGGCCUUCGGGUUGUAAAGCCCUUUUGUUGGGAAAGAAAAGCAGCAGGUUAAUACCCCGCUGUUCUGACGGUACCCAAAGAGUAAGCACCGGCUAACUUCGUG